GCUCCAAAAAGGACAUCGGAAGCUCUCCCAAGAAGCUUUCAUCCAGAAGGUUGCCAGCGUUUCAUACACACAAACACACAGUUGUGCUCCUAAUUGCCAAACCGGAAGGACUUCAUUACUGUCCAGGAUUCUUGGCACCGGGCCGGACGAAGAAGCAUCUCUCUCGGCAUGGCACAAAGGAUCUUUGGCAACAUUCAAAAGUGACGCUUCCAGUGACGACAAAUACAUAAGUGCAACACACCGCCUGCUCUGAUCGACGGGCGUCGGAACAUUUUAACAAACCCAACAAACCGCAAAUGAAA